UGGCGGCGGACGGGGCAGCUCCCGUCCCGUGCUUCCAUCGGUGCUCCCGAAACGUUAAAAUCGCAUCGAACGGCUGGGCCAAUUUUUCUUCCCCGUCGUCUAUUUUUUUUGAGGAAACAAUUCGCGGAUCUCCCGUAUUCCGUCCCCUCCCCCCGUAUGUAUUCCCCUUCGUCCCCUUUCUUCCCCUUUCGCUCUCACUUCCGACAGCCGACCGUGGUCCGCGGGGAGCGAAGGCAUCGAGUGAAUCCAGCGACCGCCCUCCGCUCCCGUCGCCGCACUUCCCAGUCCCUCCCCGCCGCUGACUUUGCCACCGCAGCCAAGCAGGCAGCUAUUGCACAAGCUCAAGAUUGAAUCAGAUCGGACCUAGGCCAUGGCCUCGAGCAGGUGUGGCGCCACCCCCGUCGCAGAUGCCGGCCCUCUCCAAUCUCAAGACCACCUCCCCCUCCUGGUUUUGCUCCUCCUGCUUGCUGACAUUGACCCUUCCCUGUUCGAUCCAGUUUGUUUCUUCCUUCUUCUAAUUUGUUGUCUGCUGAUUGGAUUUGUUCUCAGACCAAAUUGAGGCGGCGCUGUGUGUCCAUCACCGACGAGGUAACGGUCGCGGCGGCCGCCGACGCCUAGACCGUGGCGACCGUGGCGGCUGUCGCCGGCUGCGACUUGGCUUUCUGGCAGCGCCUUUGCGCGUGUUCCCUGCUAGUAUAGCAGCAGUAGAAGCUAAGCAGCAACAGAGGCGGACGCGGACGCUGUGCUACUGAUCACUAAAUUGAGGCGGUCGACUAUUCUACAGCUGGAAGACGACAGAUCUCACAGGCCUUGAGCUGACCGUAGUUUUGUGAGACGUACUAAUGAAACUGUUUGGCGUAUGCUAGUACUAUAAGCAUCUCUUUCAUUAAGUAUUGGUGAGAACUCUGCUCACGCCCGCCGAGGUCGCCAUGCUCGACAGCAUGAGGCCAGAAGACGUGGGUCAACAAUGUCAACGCCGGCGUUGUCAGUGAUUAACUACAGUUCUGCUUGUGAGGGAAAAGCAACCGGUUCAACAAGAAGGGCAGGAACAACGAAAAGAGAUCAAGAAGAAUAUGAGUCAGACUUCUUACUUUUCGUCCUUCAGAUUCAUUGUCCUGUUGAUGGUUCCCAUAGUCCGUGCUUGAAGAAGAAGCCAUAGGGGACAAUAGAGCCCCAGUCUGCUUGAUGUUUGCAAAGUUGAUGUUCUCCCUGAAAUUAAUUCAUCACAAUCAGCUGCGAUUGCAAUUUUUCUUCUUCCUGUGAUUUCAGAUACCUCUGUUUUAUGGGAUGGGUGUCCCUGCAUUUUGGCACGCAGAAGUGAGAUUGGCGGUCAUUUUCCCUCCA